rnacentral:rRNA from 1 species
UACGUAGGUGGCAAGCGUUGUCCGGAAUUAUUGGGCGUAAAGCGCGCGCAGGCGGCCACGCAAGUCGGAUGGGAAAUCCCUCGGCUCAACCGAGGAACUGCAUCCGAAACUGCGAGGCUCGAGUCCUGGAGAGGGUAGUGGAAUUCCCAGUGUAGCGGUGAAAUGCGUAGAUACUGGGAGGAACACCGGUGGCGAAGGCGGCUACCUGGACAGGUACUGACGCUGAUGCGCGAAAGCCAGGGGAGCAAACAGG